rnacentral:rRNA from 1 species
UGGGGAAUUUUGGACAAUGGGCGAAAGCCUGAUCCAGCAAUGCCGCGUGUGUGAAGAAGGCCUUCGGGUUGUAAAGCACUUUUGUCCGGAAAGAAAUCCUUGGCUCUAAUACAGUCGGGGGAUGACGGUACCGGAAGAAUAAGCACCGGCUAACUACGUGCCAGCAGCCGCGGUAAUACGUAGGGUGCAAGCGUUAAUCGGAAUUACUGGGCGUAAAGCGUGCGCAGGCGGUUUGCUAAGACCGAUGUGAAAUCCCCGGGCUAACCUGGGAACUGCAUUGGUGACUGGCAGGCUAGAGUAUGGCAGAGGGGGGUAGAAUUCCACGUGUAGCAGUGAAAUGCGUAGAGAUGUGGAGGAAUACCGAUGGCGAAGGCAGCCCCCUGGGCCAAUACUGACGCUCAUGCACGAAAGCGUGGGGAGCAAAACAGGAUUNGAUACCCUGGUAGUCCACGCCCUAAACGAUGUCAACUAGUUGUUGGGGAUUCAUUUCCUUAGUAACGUAGCUAACGCGUGAAGUUGACCGCCUGGGGAGUACGGUCGCAAGAUUAAAACUCAAAUGAAUUG